AAAUCCUUCACCAUCUCUAGUUCUUGCAAUUAGAACCCUUGUUGACUUUUGUCAAAUUUUGCCCAUGUUGUAAUCACAAUAUUUGGAAUACAUAGUACGGAUUCCAAGUAGGGUCUCUCGGGGAACCUUUUUUUAAAUCGAUUAUUAGACUAUUAAUUGAAAUUGGUGAAUUGUGUGUCAUUGAGUGAUUAACUUAUGAUUGUUAUUGUUUUCAUUAAAAGCAUGUGUAAUCGUUGAGUUAUGUUAUCAAUGUUAUCGUUUUCUUAAAAAGCAUGUGUUUGAUAUUAAAAUGCGAAUAUUGAUGCUCAAUUGUUAUGCAUAAUGCAUUGUGAGGAAUUAUGAGAUUAGUGAGAAUGGUGAUUCUGGAGAUGUGUGAAUGAGAUCGAAAGAAAAUAUAAAUUUUAUGUAGUUGAGUUUCCUCAUACGGACAUCCAGUAGCUAUGAUCAGCCCAUUUGCACAAAUGAGUGGGGAAAGUAGGCCCCAUCCACGACGGAAUUACUUAGACAGAAACAUCCAUUGGUCUACUAAAAUAUGUACUGUCACAUCCCAGGACCCAUUCCGCCGUAACACGAUAUUGUCCGCUUUGGGCCCACCGGCCCUCACGGUUUUGUUUCCGGCAGCUCAGGAGCAGCUUCCCAGUAGGUUACCCAUCCUGGGAUUGCUCUAGCAUCAACAUGCUUAACCUCGGAGUACCCAUCCCCUCCGAAGCCGCUGAGCCACCAAAAUGUCUCGUAUUAGAUUGGAGGUGGGCAUGUACAUAUACAGCACAUAACCCCUCUCCGUUUAGUUGAUGUGGGAUAUUACAAUCCACCCCCCUUGGGAGUCCGACGCCCUCGUCGGCACACUCGCACCACACGGCAGAGUGGCUCUGAUACCAUUAAAUGGUUGGAUAUGAGAUUUGUUUAGAUUAGUAAAUAAUUUGGGUGGUGUUGUGAUUUGGGGAGCACGGAGGCUCCAAGAGUUUAAGGUUGGAUUUAAAUUUUCAGAAGUGUUUGCAGGUAUUAUUAGGAAGGGUUGUCCAUUUUCAAGGGAGGUUAUACCGAUUUUUCGGUAAAAUUUUCCUUGGAGUUGGUCCCCGCACGACUUACUCUGGGUUUCAGGGUGAAAUUUGGGGUGGGUCAUGUCAGUUGGUAUCAGAGCACUAGGUUAUUCGUUUCCUUUCUCUUUUUAGUACUACCUCAUAUUCUUGGUCAUGCUCAGUGUCUAUAGAGUGAUGGUCCGACCGCGGCGGAUCUAUUAGCAUUAUAUGCUUAAGACACUAUGUGUUGAUUAGGGUUGUGAUGUAGUUGUUCUUUUAUUUAUGGACAGUAGUGUGCCAUAAAUGUCUACAUCUCUAAGACUAUGCCUCCGUACGCUGACCUCUUGAGUGUUCAUCCUUCGAGUUUUGAAAAGGUGUAUAGUUUGCACCUAUUCCAAGGUUCAUUAAUUUAAUAUCUUUGAUAUUAAUUGUUGGAGUUGUUUUGCGAGUGGGGAACGAAAAAGCUUGUUAGCAUUCCUUUCAGGUAUCCAAUGAUUGAUUGGGUUAAUUAAGAUUAAGGUUUCAGAUUAAGAUGCUAAGGUGAGCAUCUUGUGCAAAUAUGUUGGGUGAAAUGUUGAUGAUUAAUGCCUUGAAGUUGUCCAUUUUUUUUAGUGGGCAAGAUUGGAGUCAAAAAUUGAUUGAUGGGAGAUUUUGGUAUUGAGUUACGUGACUUCUGAGAGAGUUGAGUUGAAAGGAAAGUUUGAAGUAGUGGUGUAUUCUAUUGAUGAAAAAGUUAGUUGAAAUUAUGAGGUGAGGUAUCCAAUGGUAAUUCAAAUGGGUACCUAUAUGAGUUGUUGAGGACCCUAGUCUUGGGUUAAUCAAGGUUUUAGGAAAUUUGUGGCUAGUGAUUGGGUGGUAAGGUAUUGCUGCAUAAAGAGCUAAAUGUCAAUUUAGAUAAGUCUUGAUUGAAGGCCAUUUUGCCGACAAUUUUAUCCGCAACAUAAAUCAAUUGGGAACAUCUUGGGAUAAUUUUGGUUAUGGCGGUAUAUGUUCUGGUUUUUGCAGUGCUAAUUAUGGAUAUGUUUCUAUCCUUAGAGCAUUUUAUCCAGAUGGUAGUGGUAAUAUAUUUUGAAAAUGAUAGAUGUUAGUAGUCGAUGAAUAGUAAGAUUUCUGAUGAUUUUGGUCUCUAUUGUGGGUUAGUUGAAGUUUGUUAAAGCACUAAGUAAAAUGACUUCGAUUGUUGGUUUUACAAAAGUCAUUCGUCAAUGCGUUGUGACAACUUGAUAUUGUGUCGCGGUCAAGGAAUUAUUGCAAAUUGAAUGGUGUCAUCAAAAGUUUCGAGCUUCGAGCAAGCUUUAAAGCAUUGAGCGACUUCUGUCGGCUGUAGUAUUUUAAUCGUGGGGCCGUUAUGGAUUCUUUCGGAAUUCUGGGUGUUGAAGUUUGGUUUCCAAAUUUGUUGAGUGUUUGGGAAGAUGAUAAAUUUAAAUGGAAUUGAAAGUAAUGGUGGAGUAAGAGCGGGAUGGUUGUGGUCGUUUCGGUUUUACGUACAGCUCAUGGUGAAUUUUAAUAGGUGUUGUCAUGAGUUUUUGUUUUAUAAAUUCUAAGGUAGUUGCAUGAAAUUGGUGGAAGUGGCAGCGGUAGAAUAGAACCCACUGGAUCAUAAAGCAAGAGUGUGUGGGUGUCCAAAGUAAUUUUUAAGCAAUGUCAUUCCGGGUGGUUGAUGUAAGUCUCAAAUUUGUGAUCGAAGUUGGUUUUUGGCAUCACUUCGUCGCAAUGGGUGACUAACUACGACACAACAAUGGGAGGAUCUGUUCUCACCUUAUUUCUAAUUCGGUGAGAUGGAGUAAAGUUUUGGUUGUGGUGUGUGUGAGAAUAUUUAAACUAUUCCUAUUGUAGUUUUUGGGUAGCAGCCUCAGAGCUUGAAAUUUUGGAAUGCGGAUUUAACGCUUCGAUUUGAAGGGUAGAGAUUCUGGUUAUUUUGUCGAAGUUUUGAGGUAAAUGAUAAAUUGGUAGUUGUGUCGUAGUCAUGGAUCCGGAAUAAAUCCAGUGGUGAUCCCAAGUGAGCUGGAGUUCAUUUAAGCAAUGAGUCUUGAUGUUGAUUUGAUGGUUUGUGUCGUUGUAGGUAUAUUUCAUGAUGUAGCAUUGUGGAAGAGGGUUUUCCCCUGUUGACUCAAGAAGCGUCUAGAGUCAAGGUUUAUUAAGAGUUUUAAUAUUGAGAGUAGUAGUUUUUGAUAGGUUGAUCAGCGUCUCUUCUCGGGAUCGUAUUGUGGUGGGACCACUCAUUGAUCCAUGUAUGAUUUGGGAGGUCUUGUAUAAAAAUUUGUCUUUGCUUUUGUUAGUCGCAUGUUAUUGCAAGCUCGGUUUUCGAAGAAUCUUUUUGGUGGGAAGUCAUGGCCCUGGGAUGUGUAGGAGACUUGAGCGUGUCUGAUUUUUCAGAUCGUCUUCUUCUAUCAGAUUAAUUAUUUUUGGAGGUAGAAAAAGAAAUGUGUUUGUCGGAUCCAAAGGUUUCGGCAUUUAGAAUCAUUCUUAUGGAACGGCUAGAGUGAGCCGUGUGUUUUUUUUUUUUUUAAUGAUUGCUUUUGGGGUCGCAGUUGCACCCGAAUAAGUAGCAUGGCUAGAGAUGUAAAUUUUGUCAAUGCUUAAAAGAAGGUGUUCUUUUUACGUGGAUUUCAACGUCAAGUUAGCAUCAUGAAUUGAUUGUGCCAAUCUUCGUGGGCAUUAAUUAGUUAUUUUUGUUUAUGGCGAGCAAGGAGGAAUAUCCAGUUUCCACGUGUUAGUCAUGCUUCAGAUUAUCUUCUGGUUUGUGGUAAAUAAUAGUGGAGAUAGCAGAAUCAGGAGAGAGUUUGAAAUUCCCAUAAGUUGCUAGUUUGUGGUGCAUAAAAUGGUAAUGUAAUAGUUUUGGUGGAGAGAUCUAAGUGUCGUGGUAUUGAUCUUUUCAUAAUGUUAUUUCGGCAAUCGAGGUUAUCAUAUGUUGGUGGACUGGUCAUUUAGGCAGAGCAAGGUUAUCUUGUGGACUUGCGAGAGCUUUGGCUCCGCGAAAGACUCUGCGAGGUGUCUCAGUAGUAGGAGUGAUUGUUGCAGUUCUGUAGUGUCUGCAUCCUUAAAAAUCUGUUCAAUUAGCGGGUCUUAAUUUUGACCCCUAUGAGCAUGUGGGAAUAUGUGAACUUUAGUUUCCUAGCAAGUGGGCUUGAUUGUCGUGUUUCAAAUGUUUUCCCCUGGGCUCUUCGUUUUAAAAAUACCCAGUUUGCAGGAUUGCAUAGUUGAGGUCGGGCGUACAUGGGGAUGAGGCAUAGUCAUCAUGUAGCUUCCGCUUGUUAAUUUAUUAUGUUUUCUUUCUUCCUGUUAGAGUUGCUCUGAACCUAUAAAUUGUUGGAUAUGAGAUUUGUUUAAAUUAGUAAAUAAUUUGGGUGGUGUUGUGAUUUGGGGAGCACGGAGGCUCCAGGAGUUUAAGGUUGGAUUUAAAUUUUCAGAAGUGUUUGCAGGUAUUAUUAGGAAGGGUUGUCCAUUUUCAAGGGAGGUUAUACCGAUUUUUCGGUAAAAUUUUCCUUGGAGUUGGUCCCUGCACGACUUACUCUGGGUUUCAGGGUGAAAUUUGGGGUGGGUCGUGUCAUGUACAAUUUUUAUGGCAUGAACUCACAGGAGGUUAGACGUGUUUAAUAAGACUCGUUAUUAUAAGAAGUGUCAUCUUCUGCACUUCCUCACACGUGUGAAUUAUUUGCUCUUGAACGGCCAAUUUUCUAUUCCGUUAUGUGAUCAUUUUCUUCAUUUUUCAUUAGUAGAGACAAUAACUGUGCUCAGCCUAGAAUUUGGUAUCCUUUUAACAUUCUUUGGUCCAUAUCUACCUCUACUUGAUACCUAUCCUUCAAGUUGAUACUAUAGUAUGAUUAGUAUCCUUCAAAAUUUAAUUGGCGUGAUAAUCCAUAUUACCCCUGAAAUCUACAAUAUUAUCCUUCACCAAUUACAAACACAUCCAUCUAUACAUUUUUGAUGGCAAAAACUCAACUAAGCCAUCACCCGUUUAAGUCUACUCAUUAUUGGUUCCACCACAGAAAAAGAAGCAUGUUCCUUUUAAAUCAAAUCUUUGUACAUGCAUCUAUACAAAUGCGUAUAUAACAAAGUUAUAAAAUCUAUUUUGCAUAUGUACAUACAAUGUUUCCUUUCUAGUUAGUCGUGUGUCAAACUUCGCACAUAAGAAUGUUACAUGUUCCCUUGCUUUUAAAAUAUGCAGUUUCUUUUAAAUUUUGUCUAUGCAUAUGAAAAUAUGUCUCCCAUAAAAAAACAAAUAUAUACAAUUUCAAUGACUAAACAGGAGGGUAGGCCAUCACGCGUUUAAGUCUACUAAUUAUCGGUAUUACUACGGGAAAGAAAACACAUUAAAAAGAAAUUGUUAUACAUGCAUCUAUACAAAAUGUACAAUAAAGUUUACAUGCUCCAAUUAACUCCAUCUCAGCCAUCCAUUUGACAAUCAUCGUCGCUCAAACUACAAAUCAAUAGCAAUAAACAAAAACAU
rnacentral:lncRNA from 1 species